UUGUCGUUGACGUCAGCGAUGUUCAAGAUGACACUUCUGUUGGAGGAGAGGGGCGGCUUGCCCCUGUCGGUGGCUGUGAUGGUGACAUUGUACUCUGGAGUCUGCUCUCGAUCUAGGGCUCCAUCUGUCACCAACUUGCAGAUUCUCCGAUAGACAUCUCCGCGGCAGGGAGCCGGAGAGAGAGUGCACAGUUCUCCGGAUUCCGUGGUCCGCUGGGAAUUCCUUUGCGUCGGGAGGAGCCGAUGCUUCGCUCAGUACUAGCCAACAGCGGCACCCCGCGCCUCGGCUGCAGAACUGCAGUAGCCGGUACUAAAUAGCUUUAAACACACAGGUGGCUAGAAGACAACUCUACUGUGUCCUGAUAGACUCAUUCUUCUCAUUUUACAAGGAUUUUAACAUUUUAAAUACUAUAUCUUCGCUCUGGCUUUCAUUUCUUUGAACUUGAACUUUAUUCAUCCAAAUAAAGUGAUUUUUACUCAUCAAAGAGCAGAAGUACCUCACUGAAGAUCUUUAUUGACAUCGUUGUCCUUUUAGUUUCCAUUUUCAUAAAAUGGUCAUAAUGACAUCUUUCCUGCAUAUCUUCGUAGAACUGAGGACCAAAUAAAAUAAUACGUAGAAAAUGAUACAAAUGAAUGACAGUGUUCGUCGUGGCAGAAAGUGUGAUAUGAAAAUUCUUCAAAUAUCAGCUUGAUAUAUAUUGUUAUUCCACUCUAUUUCCUUUUCUUCAAACUUAUAAAAGUUAUAAAUCUCA